rnacentral:rRNA from 1 species
GACGAACGCUGGCGGCGUGCCUAAUACAUGCAAGUCGAACGCUUCUUUCCUCCCGAGUGCUUGCACUCAAUUGGAAAGGGGAGUGGCGGACGGGUGAGUAACACGUGGGUAACCUACCCAUCAGAGGGGGAUAACACUUGGAAACAGGUGCUAAUACCGCAUAACAGUUUAUGCCGCAUGGCAUAAGAGUGAAAGGCGCUUUCGGUUGUCGCUGAUGGAUGGACCGGCGGUGCAUUAGCUAGUUGGUGAGGUAACGGCUCACCAAGGCCACGAUGCAUAGCCGAUCUGAGAGGGUGAUCGGCCACACUGGAACUGAGACACGGCCCAGACUCCUACGGGAGGCAGCAGUAGGGAAUCUUCGGCAAUGGGCGAAAGUCUGACCGAGCAACGCCGCGUGAGUGAAGAAGGUUUUCGGAUCGUAAAACUCUGUUGUUAGGGAAGAACAAGGGCGUUAGUAACUGAACGUCCCCUGACGGUAUCUAACCAGAAAGCCACGGCUAACUACGUG